CAUACACACACACACACACACACACACAUAUACACACACAUACUCUUCAUAAGCUUAAGAGAAUUACACUCCCUUUGGCUCUUGUCACUAUUAUUAUUACUUUUAUGAUUAUGCAAUUUCUAGUCAUCUAUUAGGGUUUGCAGUUAAAAUACUGGUACUACUUUUACUGCUUACUGUAUUAGCACUCACAGAUGACAGUUUGACUGUCA